rnacentral:rRNA from 1 species
GACAACGCUGGCGGCGUGCCUAACACAUGCAAGUCGAACGGGGGAAUUUAUUCGGUAGAUUCCUUAGUGGCGAACGGUGAGUAACGCGUGAACAAUCUGUCUUUCAGAGGGGGAUAACACCUGGAAACAAGUGCUAAUACCGCAUAGGACCACGGGGUCACAUGAUCCUGGGGUGAAAGGAGCAAUCCGCUGAAGGAGGAGUUCGCGUCCCAUUAGGUAGAUGGCGGGGUAAAGGCCCACCAUGCCAACGAUGGGUAGCCGAGCUGAGAGGCUGAACGGCCACACUGGAACUGAGAGACGGUCCAGACUCCUACGGGAGGCAGCAGUGGGGAAUAUUGGGCAAUGGGCGAAAGCCUGACCCAGCAACGCCGCGUGAGGGAAGAAGGUUUUCGGAUUGUAAACCUCUGUCGCAGGAGACGAAAGAAAUGACGGUAUUCUGUGAGGAAGCCCCGGCUAACUACGUG